GCCCAUGUAGUAUAAUGGUAGUACACCACGUUGUGGCCGUGGAGACCCGAGGUCGAUACUCGGCGUGGGCA